UACGUAGGGGGCUAGCGUUGUCCGGAAUCAUUGGGCGUAAAGCGCGCGUAGGCGGCCCGGUAAGUCCGCUGUAAAAGUCAAAGGCUCAACCUUUGAAUGUCAGUGGAUACUGCCCGGGCUAGAGUCCGGAAGAGGCGAGUGGAAUUCCUGGUGUAGCGGUGGAAUGCGCAGAUAUCAGGAGGAACACCAACGGCGAAGGCAGCUCGCUAGGACGGUACUGACGCUGGAGACGCGAAAGCGUGGGGAGCGAACAGG
rnacentral:rRNA from 1 species